rnacentral:rRNA from 1 species
AACGAACGCUGGCGGCAGGCCUAACACAUGCAAGUCGAGCGCCCUUUCGGGGGAGCGGCGGACGGGUGAGUACCGCGUGGGAAUAUGCCCUUCUCUACGGAAUAGCCUCGGGAAACUGAGAGUAAUACCGUAUACGCCCUGUGGGGGAAAGAUUUAUCGGGGAAGGAUUAGCCCGCGUUGGAUUAGGUAGUUGGUGGGGUAAUGGCCUACCAAGCCGACGAUCCAUAGCUGGUUUGAGAGGAUGAUCAGCCACACUGGGACUGAGACACGGCCCAGACUCCUACGGGAGGCAGCAGUGGGGAAUCUUAGACAAUGGGGGCAACCCCGAUCUAGCCAUGCCGCGUGAGUGAUGAAGGCCUUAGGGUUGUAAAGCUCUUUCAGCUGGGAAGAUAAUGACGGUACCAGCAGAAGAAGCCCCGGCUAACUCCGUG